UGACCAACCUGCCCCUAACUCUGGGAUAACCCCGGGAAACCGGAGCUAAUACCGGAUACGAGACCGAGUGGCAUCACACGGUCUGGAAAGUUUUUCGGUUAGGGAUGGGGUCGCGGCCUAUCAGCUUGUUGGUGGGGUAAUGGCCUACCAAGGCGACGACGGGUAGCCGGCCUGAGAGGGCGACCGGCCACACUGGGACUGGGACACGGCCCAGACUCCUACGGGAGGCA
rnacentral:rRNA from 1 species